rnacentral:rRNA from 1 species
AGAGUUUGAUCCUGGCUCAGGAUGAACGCUAGCUACAGGCUUAACACAUGCAAGUCGAGGGGCAGCAUGUUGGUUGCUUGCAACCAACGAUGGCGACCGGCGCACGGGUGAGUAACGCGUAUCCAACCUACCCUUGUCCAUCGGAUAACCCGUCGAAAGGCGGCCUAACACGAUAUGCGGUUCACAGCAGGCAUCUAACGUGAACGAAAUGUAAAGGAGAAGGAUGGGGAUGCGUCUGAUUAGCUUGUUGGCGGGUAACGGCCACCAAGGCUACGAUCAGUAGGGGUUCUGAGAGGAAGGUCCCCACAUUGGAACUGAGACACGGUCCAAAAUCCUACGGAGGCA